AAAAUGAAAGAGAAAAAGCCUCAAUUGAGCAAAAACUGAGGCAAAUUCUGAUUUUACCCUAAAAUAGGGUUGGCGCAACAAUGCGAUCUCAGAUUCUUCAAACCAGUUUUGAAAUCCGUUUUCAAGCUUUAACUUUUCUAAGCACCCCACCUGACCCCAUUACAAAGCCGAAAGUCCUGAUUUCUGUUCUUUGCAAUGGCCCUGUCAAGCAAAUUUCUGAUGCCGGAAGUUUUAGCUGUAUUUCUGAAUUGAUUGGGUGUGAGGUUGACGCUGCUCUUCAUAUGAAACCCCGAGAGGGUAUUUCUGAAAAAAAGAAGAAAAAGGAAAAUGAGCGAAAUGAAUGCAAAGAAAGAUGCAAAAAGAUUUGAUGCUGAAAGACCCUGUUAAGUGAUAAUAAAAAGUCAAACCAAGUCCAAGAAUCUGGAGUCCAGAUGAGGGCGAUGUUGAAAAAUGCGAUCUUCGGUGCAAUGUCCUUUGAAAAUUAUUUUUUUUAACUAUCGUCUUCAAGCCACAUUACAAGCUAAUAAAGUCCAUCGUUGACUUAUUCCUUCAUGACAACCCAAAGUGAGGAUUAUGCUCAUAAAAAUCCAUCGAUCAUUCAUGAUCAUUUUUCACAUUGUUUAGCUAUCGGUUCUACCCAAAAUUUUGCAAGUUUAAAGCUUAUACGUUGACUAAGUUUUCUUUAGAAAUAAGGGUAACAAACUCUUUGCUUUCACUGAGAUGUGGUGUUGAAUGGAUUACAUACAAAUUUCGGGCACAAGAACAAAACAAAUCUUGACUUCUCAUUUUCCUUAGCCACCCCCAAAUCAGAAAUAAAGGCACUUGAUUAGUCCUGAAAGAGAGCCGACAGGGAAUUGUGAUUCAUUACCCAAAGCCUCGAUGCUAAAGUGAGAAAAAAUCCUUUGUAAUUUGGCAUUAUUUUGAGAAAUUCAUCAUGAAAUUCUCUUUGUGGUUUUAAGCAAGACGUUCAGUUUCUUACUUUGUUCAAAUAAAUGGAAGGGCAUCCAAACCAAUUUUUGCAAUCAAAUGGGCCCAUACUGGGGCAAAAUUUUUAUUAAGCAAGAUUUCGCAAAACAAGCGCACACUGGGGAAAAUUUUUAUAGCUUGUUUGAGGAAUUCAUCAAAGGGUCAAGCAAGACUUUCAAAUCAAUCAUGCUGCCCUUUUCAUGAAAAGUUAGGUGCAUGUAAGCCCCUGUGCAGGUAUUCACAGUUGAAGUCGAUGAAAAGCUUCUGAGUUGUGGAAGGCUGAUGCCGAAGAAAGAGAAGAAGGAGGGAAAAAUGGCCCGACACUGGGGCAAAUUAUUUUGAAGAAAUUCUCUCGAAAAAGGAAAAAGGAAAAAUCAAAAAUCACGUUGGGCCUGGGUUUCGUGCCGCCAACAUUUCAAAAAUCACGUUGGGCCUGAGUUUCGUGCCGCCAACAUUCACCAAAUCAAGUUGGGCCUGGGUUUCGUGCC
rnacentral:lncRNA from 1 species